GGGUGGUCUUGAAUUGGAAACCUUGUUUUGGAAAUAAAUGCAUGAAAUGCUUGUCCACCACGCCCCCAAAUACAAUAAUAAAUUCACCUGAAAAACUUGAAUACAGUGCAGUAGUGGGCAAAGGGUUUUGGCAUCUUAUUUUAAUGUUUUGUUUUACUUUUGCAAUAUAAAACUCCAUCUGGGACUGAUAAACAUCUUUAUUAUUUCUAUACAUUUUUUUUGUGUGUGUGUGUGUGUGUGUGUAUGUGUGUGUGUGUUCAAACUCUGCACGCUUGACCCUCAGGUCAUAGAUCAAAGAGAUUAAAAGACUUUGAGCACUGUGGAUCAGUGUCAAUAGACCUUUACUGAAGGAAAAGGAUUGAUGGAAUUAAAUAUGGGGUGACUUCUUGGAAACCUGAAGGAUUUAAAGGUAGCAGCAGAACAUAAUCCUGUGCGGUUGACCAGACGUGCGCGCGGUUGUAAUCCAUGCGGUUUACGUCAGCACCACGGACAGUGACAGCAGCUCCUCCGAGAACCACAAAUACAUUAUUUGGUUGGAUUCGUAGACUUCGAGAGCACUGAUCAGGCUUUGGAAUAGUCUUAUUUUUAAAUGUUAUUUCCUGUUGUUUUCUGAGAGAAUUUAAACUGCACAUGAUUUGUUUUUUUUUUGUUUUUUUUUUUUUACUUUAUAAGGAUUGCCACUGUGAGUGGGAAUAAAGCAGCACAGAGACGUCACAAAGGAGGAAAAGAAUCCGAAACCUCCAAACAUGAGCAGUUUUAAUGUGACAGGCUGGAGGUGGACAGAUGAAGCUCAGGCCUAUCUGUACUCGUCCUCCAUGGACGACCCUCUGUACAAACAGUACAGACCCCCCGUGAAGGACCUCGUCCCUUUGCCAAAGGCAGUUAUUUACCUGCUCAUGGCUGCGCUGGUGGUGGUUGGAGUUGCCUAUGCCAUCAUUGGACAUCUCAUUAAGGAUUUAGUCUUGGACAUUGCAGAUUGCAUACUGGGGCCGGCUGAUGAUGAUGACAAGGACAACACCACACAGCACGUGGCCUCCAGCCAGUCUCCUCCCUUUCACUUCUCUCAUUCGAAUGCCUUCCACGUCUGGGAUCAACACAGCGUGAUCAUCCCACUGACCCACAGUGAAAGCCCACAAAUCAGCCCGCCGCUGCUCUCCGCGAUCCCCUACAUCCCCACUUUGUUGCACAUCCAUUCUCACAGCUUGAGUGUGGCCCUCUGCAGCAGCCCAGAGGGCAGUGUUCCGCACGAAGACCUCUGAUGCAGACCAGAUGAAUGGAAUAUGGUCAUGAAAAUGAGUGCUGGAGUUUACUGUGCAUGGCCUACAAAUGUUGGACUUCAAUAACAGACACCAAGUUUUUGCGUCUGAUGACUUUGUGCAUGAAAUUUUAAAGUUAGUAUGACUGACUUAUGCAGCAAUUUUGUGACUGUGUAGCAGGAGACCAGAAAACUGUUCAACUGUUAAACUUCAAAAUGUGGAUCCCUUUGGAGGACAGGAGAUAAACUUGAGUAUCCCACAGGAGGACACUUUGGGAUUUGUGAUCCCUGAGGACAACCAGAAGA